GAUGAACGCUGGCGGCGUGCUUAACACAUGCAAGUCGAACGGAAGGGCGCGACUUUUGCGUGUUUCUCGAGUGGCGAGGGGGGGAGAAACACGUGAGUAAACUGCACUUGACUUUGGGAGAUCAUCAGGAAACUGGGGCUAAUACCGCAUAGAAGCUCCUGCUCCACAGUGGGCGUAGGAAAGAUUCGGCGGUGUGGGAUGGAUUCGCGGCUUAUCAGCUUGUUAGUGGGGUAGUGGCAUACCAAGUUUUUGACGGGUAGGCGGCCUUAGAGGGUGACCGGGGACCUUGGGACUGCGAGACGCCGCAGUCUGCUACGGGCGGCAGCAGUCGGGAGUCUUACACAGUGAGCGCACGCCUGUUGCAGAGACGCCGCGUGCGUAAUGCCGGCCUACUGGUUGUAAACCGAUGUGGCAUGAGACGAAGCGUGAGUGACGGUAAUGGGUAAAGAAGCACCGGCUAACUACGUG
rnacentral:rRNA from 1 species